UAGAUACUUUCUCCGUCCGGAAAUACUUGUCAUCAAAAUGAAUAAAAGAGGAUGUAUCUAGACGUAUUUUAGUUCCAGAUACAUCUUUUUCUAUCCAUUUUGAUAACAAGUAUUUUUGGACGAAAAGAGUAUGUG
rfam:Triticum aestivum genome assembly, contig: Triticum_aestivum_CS42_TGACv1_scaffold_062174_1DL